rnacentral:rRNA from 1 species
GACGUAGGGCGCGAGCGUUGUCCGGAUUUAUUGGGCGUAAAGAGCUCGUAGGCGGCUUGUCGCGUCGAAUGUGAAAUCUCAGGGCUCAACUCUGACAUUGCAUUCGAUACGGGCAGGCUCGAGUUCGGUAGGGGAGACUGGAAUUCCUGGUGUAGCGGUGAAAUGCGCAGAUAUCAGGAGGAACACCGGUGGCGAAGGCGGGUCUUUGGGCCGAUACUGACGCUGAGGAGCGAAAGCGUGGGGAGCGAACAGG